UCAGGCAACAGUUUCCAGUCUUUUAUAUAGGAAUGUUGUGCAGGUUGUAUCUCGCAGCCAUGCACUACAAUGAGAAUGCCCAGCGUCCACAGGUAACAACAACACAAGGGGAGGCUGUUUUCAAAAUCGCUUUUCCGAAGUCAAAACAAGGGGAAUGCACAGCCAAGACCCAACAUUUAACUAUGUCGAUGACCUGAUGAGUCUUCUACUACACGAAGUCAUUGUGGACCCAACACCAUAUGUAGAAGAACUACAUCAGAUCACCAUUCCACCUCCCCUGUCAUCAGAGUUUGAAAAACCCUGCAAGGAAGAUGUCAUUGCCCGCCAUGUGUCUCGGUUUAGUCAAGGGGUGGCUGGAAUCCAACGUACUGUCCAGCUGGAUCAGGAAACUGCUGGCGUAUCCGGCGAACAACACAAGACGGGAUGACGACCCUCACAUGUUGUCCUAAGUAGCCCCAGCACCAGCUGACAAAGCUGCGAUAUGCCGCAUAACAGAAACACCUAUGGCAUUGAACCAAAAAGACAAAGUAAACAAAUGGUUCAUUAACAUCAUGUGUACAUAUGUUUGUAAAAAAUACAUUGUUUUAAACAUUUUUUUUAUAUUCUUAUAUAACUAAAGUUAUUGUACAUUGUUUAAUUUUAUUAUAUUUAAUAAAAACAUACUCUUCUUCAGUUCUU